GAUGAACGCUGGCGGCGUGCCUAAUACAUGCAAGUCGAGCGAACAGACGAGGAGCUUGCUCCUCUGACGUUAGCGGCGGACGGGUGAGUAACACGUGGAUAACCUACCUAUCAGACUGGGAACACUACGGGAAACCGGAGCUAACACCGGAUAAUAUAUUGCACCGCAUGGUUCAAUAGUGAAAGACGGUUUUGCUGUCACUAAUAGAUGGAUCCGCGCUUCAUUAGCUAGUUGGUAAGGUAACGGCUUACCAAGGCAACGAUGCGUAGCCGACCUGAGAGGGUGAUCGGCCACAUUGGAACUGAGACACGGUACAGACUCCUGAGGGAGGCAGCAGUAGGGAAGCUUCCGCAAUGGGCGAAAGUCUGACGGAGCAACGCCGAGUGAGUGAUGAAGGUCUUCGGAUCGUAAAACUCUGUUAUUGGGGGAGAACAAAUGUGUAAUUAACUGUGCAGGUCUUGACGGUACCGAAUCAGAAAGCCACGGCUAACUACGUG
rnacentral:rRNA from 1 species